rfam:Picea glauca, whole genome shotgun sequence.
GGUAGAGUUACCUAAUCUUGUUUGCACCUUUGUAUUGCAUGAAUGUGGGGUUUUGUGUUGGGAGAAUGGGAAAAAGUAGAGGCCUUUAAAUGGUCAUUUUCUACAUGCAUGAUUAAAGCCCUUAAAUGCUAAGUCCGUAAGCGGGAUUUCCCACUCACAUCAAUAGAGACUGUCGGGGGCAUUCGUAUUUCAUUGUCAGAGGUGAAAUUCUUGGAUUUAUGAAAGAUGAACCACUGCGAAAUCAUUUUCCAAAGAUGUUUUCAUUAAUCAAGAAUGAAAUUUGUGGGCUCGAAGAUGAUCAGAUACCAUCCUAGUCUCAACCAUAAAUGAUGUAGACUAGGGAUCGACAAAUGUUUCUCUAAGGAAUCCACCAGCGCCUUAUGAGAAAUUAGAGUGUUUGGGUUCUAGGGGGAUUAUGGUUGAAAGGAUGAAAAUUAAAGGAAUUGACAGAAGGGCACCACCGAGAGUGGAGCCUGCAGCUUAAUUUGACUCCAACAUGGGAAAACUUACCAGGUCCAUACAUAGUAAGGAUUAAUAGAUUGAGAUCUCUUUCUUGAUUCUAUGGGUGGUGGUGCAUGGUCGUUCUUAGUUGGUGGAGUGAUUUUUCUGGUUAAUUCUGAUAACGAAUGAGACCUCAACCUAUUAACUAGCUACACAGAAGAUCCUCUUCGUGACCAUCUUUUUAGAGGGACUAUGGUCGAUUAGGCCAUGGAAGUUUGAGGAAAUAACAAGUAUGUGAUUCCCUUAGAUGUUAUGGGUUGCACACACGCUACACUGAUGUAGUCAACGAGUUUUUAUCCCUAGUUCGAGAGGAUCGAGAAAUAUUCUCAAAUUGCAUCGUGAUGGGGAUAGACCAUUGCAAUUAUUGGUCUUCAAUGAGGAAUUCCUAGUAAGCAUGUAUCAUCAUCUUGUGUUGACUAUGUGUGUUGACUAUGUCCCUGCCCUUUGUACACACUGCCCAUUUCUCCUACCAAUUGAAUGAUCUGGUUAAGUGUUCGGAUUUCGUCAAUGAGGGUGGUUUGUCGUCGACGAUGUCAUGAGAAGUUCACUGAAACUUAUCAUUUAGAGGAAGGAGAAUUCGUAACAAGGUUAUCGUAGGUGAACCUACAGUGGGAUCAUUG